rnacentral:rRNA from 1 species
UACGAAGGGUGCAAGCGUUAAUCGGAAUUACUGGGCGUAAAGCGCGCGUAGGUGGUUCAGUAAGUUGGAUGUGAAAUCCCCGGGCUCAACCUGGGAACUGCAGCCAAAACUGCUGAGCUAGAGUACGGUAGAGGGUGGUGGAAUUUCCUGUGUAGCGGUGAAAUGCGUAGAUAUAGGAAGGAACACCAGUGGCGAAGGCGACCACCUGGACUGAUACUGACACUGAGGUGCGAAAGCGUGGGGAGCAAACAGG